rnacentral:sRNA from 1 species
CUCCCGCAAAGACAGCAAGGCCCAUGAACAGGCCCUGGCUGAACUGACCAAGAAGCUGGGAGCUUUGGAGGAGCCUGACAUGACUGGCCAACUGGUCGACCUGCCUGAAUAUUACAGCUGGGGGGAGGAACUGACAGAGACCCAGCACAUGAUCCAGCGACGCAUCAUGGAGUCUGUGAACGGGCUGAAGUCUCUCUCAGCAGGAAGGGUGGUGGUUGUGAAGAAUCAGGAGCAUCACAACGCAUUGGGAGUGAUCCUACAGGUCUCCUCGAACUCCACCAGCAGAGUAUUCACAACCCUGGUCUUGUGUGAUAAGCCCUUGUCCCAGGACCCACAGGACAGGGGGCCAGCCACUGCAGAGGUGGCUUAUCCAGAUGACCUCGUGGGAUUCAAGCUGUUCCUGCCUGAAGGGCCUUGUGACCACACCGUGGUCAAGCUCCAGCCAGGAGAUAUGGCUGCCAUCACCACCAAGGUGCUCCGGGUGAAUGGGGAGAAGAUCUUGGAGGACUUCAGCAAGAGGCAGCAGCCAAAAUUCAAGUCAGAGAUGCUAGGGAGGCCCUUCUCCUCCAGAGGGGAAGGAUCCUCCCCUUGCAGCUGUGACCACUGCUGUCCAGGAACUGCUGCGUCUGGCUCAGGCCCACCCAGCCGGACCCCCCACCCUCGACCCUGUCAAUGACCUGCAGCUCAAAGA